CAACAACUCCCUUUGUCCCAAAUUUCUUGUCUUAGAUUUGUCUAGAUACGGAUGUAUCUAACACUAAAAUGUGACUUGAUACAUCCGUAUCUAGACAAAUCUAAGACAAGAAUUUCGGGACGGAGGGAGUACUUU
rfam:Triticum urartu cultivar G1812 contig570493, whole genome shotgun sequence.